rnacentral:rRNA from 1 species
UACGUAGGGUGCAAGCGUUGUCCGGAAUUAUUGGGCGUAAAGAGCUCGUAGGCGGUUUGUCGCGUCUGCUGUGAAAACUCGGGGCUUAACCCCGGGCCUGCAGUGGGGUACGGGCAGACUAGAGUGCGGUAGGGGAGACUGGAAUUCCUGGUGUAGCGGUGAAUGCGCAGAUAUCAGGAGGAACACCGGUGGCGAAGGCGGGUCUCUGGGCCGAUACUGACGCUGAGGAGCGAAGCGUGGGAG